rnacentral:rRNA from 1 species
GAUGAACGCUGACAGAAUGCUUAACACAUGCAAGUCGAUGGGGAAGUGGUGCUUGCACCCUGGUAACCAUGGCGGACGGGUGAGUAACGCGUAAGGAACUUGCCUGCUGGACUGGGAUAACAGCAGGAAACUGCUGAUAAUACCGGAUAAGGUCAUUAAGCUGCAUAGCUUAGUGAUGAAAGGGGACGCCUGCGGAGAGCCUUGCGUCCUAUUAGCUAGUUGGUGGGGUAACGGCCCACCAAGGCGAAGAUAGGUAGCCGGCCUGAGAGGGUGGACGGCCACAAGGAGACUGAGAUACGGCAGUUACUCCUACGGGAGGCAGCAGUGGAGAAUAUUGGACUAUGGGGGCAACCCUGAUCCAGCAAUUCUGUGUGCACGAAGACGGUUUUCGGAUUGUAAAGUGCUUUCAGCAGGGAAGAAGGAAGUGACGGUACCUGCAGAAGAAGCGACGGCUAAAUACGUG